rnacentral:rRNA from 1 species
GACGAACGCUGGCGGCGCGCCUAACACAUGCAAGUCGAACGAGCGAGAGAGAGCUUGCUUUCUCGAGCGAGUGGCGAACGGGUGAGUAACGCGUGAGGAACCUGCCUCAAAGAGGGGGACAACAGUUGGAAACGACUGCUAAUACCGCAUAAGCCCACGGGUCGGCAUCGACCAGAGGGAAAAGGAGCAAUCCGCUUUGAGAUGGCCUCGCGUCCGAUUAGCUAGUUGGUGAGGUAACGGCCCACCAAGGCAACGAUCGGUAGCCGGACUGAGAGGUUGAACGGCCACAUUGGGACUGAGACACGGCCCAGACUCCUACGGGAGGCAGCAGUGGGGAAUAUUGCACAAUGGGGGAAACCCUGAUGCAGCGACGCCGCGUGGAGGAAGAAGGUCUUCGGAUUGUAAACUCCUGUUGUUGAGGAAGAUAAUGACGGUACU